rnacentral:rRNA from 1 species
CUUGGUCAUUUAGAGGAAGUAAAAGUCGUAACAAGGUUUCCGUAGGUGAACCUGCGGAAGGAUCAUUACAAGUGAGGCUACCGAACGUUGGAAACAGCGGUUAGGAGCUUACACCCACCCGUGUUUACAUACUAUUGUUGCUUUGGCGGGCCGUGGCCUCCACUGCGGGCUCUGCUCGUGUGUGCCCGCCAGAGAACCAAACUCUGAAUGUUAGUGAUGUCUGAGUACUAUCUAAUAGUUAAAACUUUCAACAACGGAUCUCUUGGUUCUGGCAUCGUUGAAGAACGCAGCGAAAUGCGAUAAGUAAUGUGAAUUGCAGAAUUCAGUGAAUCAUCGAAUCUUUGAACGCACAUUGCGCCCUGUGGUAUUCCGCAGGGCAUGCCUGUUCGAGCGUCAUUUAACCACUCACGCCUAGCGUGGUAUUGGGGCACGCGGUCUCCGCGGCCCUCAAAAUUAGUGGCGGCGCCGGUGGGCUCUAAGCGUAGUACAUACUCCCGCUAUAGAGUUCCCCCCGGUGGCUCGCCAGAACCCCCAAUUUUUUACAGGUUGACCUCGGAUCAGGUAGGGAUACCCGCUGAACUUAAGCAUAUCAAUAAGCGGAGGA